CGCGUAGGUGGCCUGAUAAGGGUGUGGUGAAAGUCCGGGGCUCAACCCCGGAUCGGCCGUGCCGACUGUUAGGCUAGAGUACUGUAGGGGCAGGCGGAAUUCCGGGUGUAGCGGUGGAAUGCGUAGAGAUCCGGAGGAAGACCGGUGGCGAAGGCGGCCUGCUGGGCAGUUACUGACACUGAGGCGCGACAGCGGUGGGGAAGCAAACA
rnacentral:rRNA from 1 species